rnacentral:lncRNA from 1 species
GACCGUUAACUCCUAAGUAAAAAAGACAUAUUUGUUCUUCUGAGUAUAUGAAGCUGGAAAUGCAUAGUCACAACUCUCUAGGAACUCUAUAGUCCACAAAAUCACAUAUCGGUCCAUAUUCUGUAACAUUGAUUUUUUUUUCAUAAGCAGUAAGCUCCGCCACCACCAUCCACAACAGCAAGAGCACUAGCAAGCUCUGGCACAAACGUAAUUCGAUCAUCAAUGGCUUGGAAUCAACUCCUCUUACAGAGUUACGGGUAGUGGCGCGAGUCCCUAACUGGUGGGGCCACCCUUACGGUCCCACAUGUCGGAGGCACAUGUCCCUACGAUACGCCAAAGGUGCCUAAUCACAAUGGCAUACAUGAUAUUAUAUGAAUUAAAAACAAGAGCAGUAAUACACAAACUAUAGACAAAGUCCCACAUGUCGAAGUAUGUUUGUCAUGUUCUCUCAACAACUUGAAAUCAGUUUUCUAGGGAACACUUUGUUGUAAAUAUAUACUCCAUAUUUUAAUAGAGAUGAAUAAAAAUCGAUGCUCCCAUUUGAGGCUCAAAAAAUAAUCAUCAUGUGCCAAUUUUCGGAGCAAUUUUUACCGUCCAAAUUCCAAAAAAUAAAUUAAUAAUAAUAAUAAAGAACACCUUGAUGCAGAGUUCUCACUUCUCAGCCGAGAGAGCAGAGCAAAGCAACCAACGGUCAAGAACUCCAAAUCCCCAAACCGCAUACACGUGGUCCAUACACCGGAACAAUCCCCGCCGUCCAUCCCUCCUACGGACGGCGAGAUGCUGCUCUCGGUCCACGGAUCACGCCGUGCACCGGCCAUUUCAAAACGCGAUAAGAAUCCCCCCGCCCACGCGCCGCCUCUCCUGGUCUCCCCCCCUCCCGUUAGUUAGAGCCCAUAGCCAUAGCCAUAGCCACCUCCAAGCUCCAAACCCUAGGGAUCUAUUCCACCAUAGUUAGGUGAUUCUAUCGUAGGGGAGUUAGUAGUCGCCGCGGGGCCCGGAUCGGAAGGAAUCGGAGAAGAGCCGAGCAAAUCGUAGGUUGUUUUCGCGUUUUUUUUUUUUUUGGUUGGGUGGGGUGGUGUUUGUUUUCUUGGGUUUCUUUGGGCGAUUAUUUUCUUUUCCUGAUGCGUUGUGGUGUGAUUCUGAUCUUUUGCAGAUCUGCGGGAGGGGAUAGGAUUCGCGUGCGGGGGGUUGCAGCGGCAGGAAUCUGAAGGUGAGAUGGCUGAAUUUUGGGAGAUUUGGUUGGUUUUUUUGUGGGGAUUCGUUGGUUCGUGUUCGUUUCCCCCAAACCCUUCUGUGUUUUUUUUCUGGGUCAUUUAGUUGCAAAUCGAUGGGGAUUAGAGGAUUUCAGGACGAAUCUGAGUUGAAAAAACCGGAGCUUAGAUGUUUUCUGGUGUUUCUUGGGGGCAAUUUCUUGUCUUGGUGGUUUUUUUUUCUUUUUACUUGGAAGAGGCAGGAGCCAAAUCUGAGCCGCGCAGAAUUUGUGCGAAAAAUCUUCAUUCCAUUAGUUGCUCAUGAGUUCUUCUCGCAGAUCUCCAGGAUGCCUGAAGUGAGAAAUUCCGGCGGUAGGGCGGCGCUCGCCGACCCCUCGGGUGGUGGGUUCUUUAUCAGGAGGACGACGUCGCCGCCGGGAGCCGUGGCGGUCAAGCCGCUGGCUCGGCGGGCCCUGCCGCCGACGAGCAACAAGGAGAACGUGCCGCCGUCCUGGGCUGUGACCGUGAGGGCUACACCCAAGAGGAGGAGCCCCCUGCCCGAGUGGUACCCGAGGAGCCCACUCCGCGACAUCACGUCAGUCGUCAAGGUGAUGAACCAUUCCCGUAGGCUGUGUGGUGGGUUGGAUGUGCUCUGAAUCCUGUGAAAUUGGUGUGGUCGUUUUUUGUGUGCUGAUAUCAUGUGUAGGACUUCAGGUUUUUAUUAUUUUGAUGCAUGGUGUGUUCUUGAGGAUUUGUGUCAGUUAUCAUGUUUAGGUAGGGUAUAAUUGGUGAAUGGUAUGUUCUUGAAGAUAUGAUAGUGCUAAGAUUGGUGUGCUCGUGAUUCUGGAAUUGUGGUGGUCUUGUGUUCGAGGUUGAAUUCUUUACAGAUAGUGAAUAUCACUAGCAAGAGUAGCAGUCUAGGAAAUUAAGGUGUCCUUCGACUACUACUGAUGAUAAAUAUGCAUUUCUUUCUGCUUAUCGCAACAAAGUCCCUGAAUUUUGUUAGUAAGCAUUUCAAUCACUAAAAUGAGGAACACAAUUGCUUGAUACUAUAAUCAAUUAGUACCUUUUUAUACUUGCAAAAUCAUAUCAGACUAUAAAUGAAUUAGCAAUGAGGGACUUCACCAACCGAUGCUUCUUCGCUCUUUUUUGUAUCUUCUUCGAUCUGUCUAUCUUAUUUUAGGUGAUCAGUAAUUAGAUGACAUACUAUGCAAAAUUUCAGGGAAGUUCAGUGAAAUAACAGGCUUAAACUUUGAAUGCUCUUCUGAUGUGAGUAAUCAACUAUGACAUGUCUAAUUUGUUGUACUUGUUUGGUUGUACACACUUGGGGAAUUCGGUCUGUUAUAACAUGAAUCAUCAUAAUUCAUGACAAAUUUGCAUUAUAUGUCGUGUAGCCCACUCCAUGAUAUCACAUCAGUCGUCAAGGUGAUGAACAGUUCCCAUGGGCUUUGUGGUGGAUGUUCUCUGAAUCCUGUAAAAUUGUGUGGUCAUUUUGUGCUAAUAUCAUGUUUUAAUACUUUAGGUUUUUAUGCAUGGUAUGUUCUUGAGGAUUUGUGUCAAUAUAUUGUUGUGUUCAGGUUAGGUUAUAUUUGAUGCAUGAUAUGUUCACGGUGAUAUGGUAAUGCUAAAUGUUGUGCACAUGAUUCUGAAAUUGUGAUUAGGCUUGAGUUGAGGAUGUCUUGGUUACCUAUUGUGAAUAUUACUAGCAAUAGUUGCAGUCUAGCAAAUUAAGUGUCUUCUGGCUACUGCUGGUUAUAAUUGGGCAUCUUUUCUGUCACUGCAACAAAAUCGCUGAAUUUUGUUAGUAAGAAGCAACGAGGGACUUUCUUCUGAACAAAUGGUGUUUUUUUUGUUUUUUUCUUUAUCUGUUUUGAUAUGCCUAUCCGUCAUUUUAAGUGACCAGUAAUCAGAUAAAAUACUGAUUAAUUUUCUGAGAAGUUCAGUGAAAUAACAGGCUUAAAACAUGUAAAUGUGCCAUUCAUCCAUUUCAUGUCUGUUGCAUUUCUUAAUGAUCUUCUGAUCAUGUGAGGAAUCAACUAUGAUAUGUGUGAUUCGUUGGACUUGUUGGUUGUACACUUUAUGGACUAAAACUAAAGAGCCACCAAUUUGGGGGAUUGGGUCUGUUUUAUCAUGAAUCAUAAUUCAUGGCUGCUUUGCAUUAUAGAGGUAGGUGCAUUUUUUAGUUAUAUACAUUUUUUUCAAUGGUGUGCACCGAAGGUAAUAGAGGAUGAGGAAAUACCUCAAUGUUGGAAUUUGUGCUAUAUAGAACCUUGGCAACAGCCUAACUUGCUUGCCUUGCCAGUAGUCAUAUCUUUUGAGAUUCACUUAACCUGAAAAAAUUGAACUAAAUGUAUUCAUCAAGCUGUAGUUUACCGGGUGCGAUUUCAGUUUGGCUUUGCUACAGUGCUUUCUUCUGUUCUUCUCCUGUUAAAUUUUACUCAGUGUUCGAUAGUUUAACAGAUACUUUCCUGUUAAACUUUAAGGAUAACUUUUUGAAGUACUUUGAUUGGUACAUAUUCAGUACUUCGGCUUGUUGUGUAUAUAGCUGCUUAAAUACAAAACAGCUCCUUUUUGGCCUUGAUGAAAUUCUUGCUAGCUGAUAUAUUAGUCCUUAUCUUCAUAGCAAAAAUAAGUGUAUUUUCCGCAGUGUCAAACAACCAGAGUUAUAUAUCUCAUUUUAUUAUAAUACCAGUUAAUCCAGAUUUCACAUUUUGCUUCAAUGCUGUCGUUGGGGGAAAGAGAAAAGGGGUUUUGUUGUUCAUUUUGUUGUACAUAGUUCUCUGUCAUUUUUAUAGUUAUUCAUGCCUUUUUUUCCCUGUAGUUGUAUUUAUGCUCAUAUGUUGAACAUAUGCUUGUGCAGUACUGAGUCGUAGCAGGAUAACAAUGCUGAUACAUCCUUCAAGUUAAUGGAUAUAAUCACGCAUCCAUGACAAUAUGCUUAUAAUUUUACCUACCAUUUGCAGGCAGUUGAGAGGAAAAGUCGCCUCGGAAAUGCUGCGGUUCGGCAGCAGAUCCAGUUGAGUGAAGAUUCUUCACGAUCUGUGGAUCCAGCAACUCCAGUACAAAAAGAAGAAGGUGUCCCUCAAAGCACACCAACACCACCAACUCAAAAGGCCCUGGAUGCUGCUGCCCCUUGUCCUGGCUCAACCCAAGCUGUUGCAAGCACAUCAACAGCUUACUUGGCCGAGGGCAAGCCGAAGGCAUCAUCUUCUUCUCCAUCUGACUGCUCCUUUCAGACACCAUCCAGACCAAAUGAUCCAGCUCUUGCUGAUCUCAUGGAGAAGGAACUGUCCAGCUCCAUAGAGCAGAUAGAGAAGAUGGUAAGGAAGAACCUCAAGAGAGCUCCGAAGGCUGCUCAGCCUUCCAAGGUGACCAUCCAGAAGCGCACCCUGUUGUCCAUGAGAUGAGAUGAGAUGAGAUGAGCUGAUCACACUGUCCAGAGGAGAGAGUGAGGCCUGCUCAGGCCUGCAACUGCGAGGUUUUCCCACUUGUCUGCUGCUUUCUUAGCCGCUAGUCCUAGCCAAACCCUUUGCAUCAGCUGCUCUUCUUCCAUCCCUGCUGUGAUCCUGGGCUUGUUGAGGCAUGGUGCUCAGUUUUGUGUACCAUUGAGGGGGAUCUCUGCUUGAGGACCCUGGGAUAUGGGGGGGUAGCCUAGCUCUCUUCUUGAGGGCAUAGAUAGGAUUAGCUGUUGAUAAUACCAUUCGUCGUACUGGUACAUGCUUACUGCAGCAGACCUUCAACUGUGUAUAGCUUCUGUAUAUUUUUACUGCACGCUCCAUUGAGACAUCGACAACUGUUAGUAGCUAACAAGACAAGAUUUUCUGUGACUCUGUUAUUGUAUUAACUACAGUAUGGCACUUCUGUCGUAGAACAUAACUUCUCUUUGGUGUGAACAUUGUGACUCGUCGCAUAACGUCCUGAUUUACUUGAUUAUACAGUAUUGAGCAGUAGAAAUCAUCAGAACUUUGCACGUUGUUGGUGAUUUCCCAAUGGAAAUUAUACUGCUUUACUAGAAAAUCAUAGAGGCCUAUCUCAGUUUUGCAUGCUUCCAAGCUGGUAGCAAGAUUCAGUCUUUAAGAUUGUCUUGGUGAUCAACUGUCAUUUUUCCCUUUUUUUGGUUGAAAAGGUACGACGAUCUAAAUAAAGAUGGGGAUUUUAUUUGGGAGAAAAGGCGGCAUUGAAAUAUUUUUUUCCGUAACCCCAAUUUUCUGUUUCAACCAAUGAUUUUUCAUUGAAAUAUAUCUCACUCGAAACGAUUUUUCUUAGCUAUCACUCGAUUUUUUUUUACCGUAUGAUACACGCUGAGAUGUGUGCUAGGUCUGUUAUUUAUUGCGUCAUGGCAUGGCAAGCAUGGGUAUAUUUAGCACAGCUCCAAUUCCAGGAAUCAACAAUUCCAAUGGAAAAGAUGAUCAAAAUGACUCGAACACCUCAAUAUAUGAUUUUAAUUCAGGUAGGAGGAACACCAGUCUGAUUUAUCUAAGUUGAAACAAGCAUACACUGAUCGUAUCAGUUUUUUCCAUAUGUUAAAUAAGCAAACACAAAAGAUACUGAAAAUGAACAAACACAAAAGAAGUGGUCUAAUGUGCACAUGGGAAUCACUUCUUCCUUCUCAGCCUCCUGGAUGGCAGGCUUCUCGUUUCUCAGCAUUUCCACCUGUUCAGCUUCAUACACCUUCCUAGCUUGCCUCCUCUAUCAAGGACCCCAAUGUCCUUUGCUUCUCAAUCCUCUGUGUUCCCUAGUUGGAGUUGGGAACAUUUCCAACGAUUUGGCAUGAUUAAUUAAGUAUUUUCUAUAGAUUUUUUUUUGCAAAAAAACACAUCGUUUAGCAAUUUAGGAAGCGUGCGCGCGAAAAAAUGAGAGAAAGCAGACUAAAGAACACAGCCACAUGCAAACACCAUUUCUUUGUAGAAUUCUAGAUUCUCGAAGAAGUGCCCUGAAGGAUCCGAUCUUCAUAUUUAUGUGCAUCAGCUUUUAUAACUCCUCUGUUGAAAACAUCUGAAACAAACAUGCUUUGACCCAUUGCUGAUUUGCACUUUCGGAAGGGGAAAAGAAAAUUUGGGGCACCCAUAUUCUGAAUUUUGGGAGGUUUCAGGAUUUUUAUCACGAUUGUUGAACGAAAUUUUCAAACAAUAUUUAAAUCUGGGCAAAAAAAAAAGGGAAAUUUUGUCCAGAUUUAGCAGCAGAUCACAUCAUCCUUUUUGCUAGACAAGAGAAGGGAAGAGCAACCGAAGCAGAAAAUAGUGACUGGCAGUUGCUGUUAGCUAACACUACGAUGAUUUCAAGCAACUUUCUCAUGCUCUCUAAUAAAAGAGGAAUUAUUCGCAUGGGCGAACAAAAACAAGGCGAAUACUUUUUGAAGGCGGAGGCCACCUGGACACUGGCGGUGCUACAAGAUGCACCUGAUAGUGUAGUGACAAGUGGUCUAUAAUUUCAACCCUAAAGUCUCAUGUUCAAUUGACACACUCAUAAUUUUUCUUUAAAAAAGUAUUUAGAGGGGUGUCUCUCCCUCCAAAUCUCGUUUUUCCCUUUUCACCAGCGGUGAGCCGGUGAUACCAUGCGCCCGGCCGCGCAAGAGACGGUUGCCGCCGUGCCGGUGCCGGCGCCAGAGACGACCGCAUGCAGCGUGUGCUCUCCACACGAUUACACUGGCGCUCCAUGUCAGGCCUCCACGGAGAAGGGCGCACGCUGCGGCAGAAACUGAUGCAGGGAAGGAGCCGCUCGCUUCUGAUCAGAGCACGGAAACGGAAGCCUGCGCACUAUACUGACUGAUGCCUGCUCGGCUCAACCUGUCGAAAUCUCUGUGCCAUCUCUGCCGCCUCCGGUGAGAGCUGUCCAGGGCCUCCUGGCUCGGUGAGCAUGCAUCCCCCACACCGCCUCCUUUGCUGACCGCCACCCCAACGGCGCCGCCGGCCAGGAGCCCAGGACAACCACGGUCUGGAUCAGCAGCGGCAUCAACCGCACAGGAUACAUGUUGGCACUAGGUUAUGUAUAAUCUAGUACCAGUAUGUUAUAUUUUGGAACGGAUGAAGCAGUUCAUUAUACAGUAUUACAUCCAGGAGAUACACCGACAUUGCGAGAAACUGGGAAACACAACUUAUGUACGAUCUACAGAGAUAGGGAGUUCAGGGAACGGGGGAAAUCAUGUACAGGUAAGCGAACCUUCAGAGCCCCUAGGAGCAUGCCAUGAAAGUACAUACAUGGUCGGUUGCAACACAGAAAUCUGUCGCCCAUCUUGGAGGCAAUGCACUGGCAGAAGAUCGAAUCAUGUAACGCCAAGAGAUUUAGUUCUUUUUGACCGGUCGAUCAGGUUGGGAGCCUCUGUGGUGGGACCAAUAGAUUGUGCUCCCAUGCGGCUGAUCAUUCUCCGAUGCAGGACGGCCCACGAGCUAAUGUAGAGCACUGUGACUGCAUUUGGAGAUAUUGUCUUGGAGGCAAAUCAAGAUUGUUCCAUGACACCGCUACUCCGAGUUUUUGAUAGACUCUUGCUUUUGCGAUAACACGAGCAAAGAUGAAAACUGAAGAGGAUAACAAGAAGUUAACUUUUGCCAACAGACUCAGAUCUGCAACUGAUGCGUAAUGCAUAUAGCUUUCCCAAUUAUACGCCGAGAUGGAGGUCAUUCUAGUAACUGAAGAUGGAAGGGAACUAACCUGAGUACCGGCAAGUAUAGUAUGACAGAAGGGAUGUGCUGCACAGGAAACAACUCUCUGAGAUGAAGGAAUAAACUUGUUUGCUGCAGGUUUCUUUUCAUCGGAGCCUCUUAUUUCCUCACUGAAACAUGGAAUGCCAAGUGAGAAUAAAGACCAAAGAAGAUUGUUGACAAAAUGUAUGAUUGUGUAAAUUAAGAAGAAAAGGAAAGCAAAUAUCAGCUCACUUGUAGUCGACAUGGCAUGCUGAACUUGUAUCUGGAUGAAAAUCCAGUAGAUGCAUGCCAACAGUAUUGGAGGCAGAUCCAACUGCAUAAAUCUGGAUAAUGUAAAGUGUAUGUUAUGCAUCUAGCUCCAAUGUAUUUCAAUGCCAGAUGAGAUAUUUAUUAUUAUGACUACAGUGAUAAAUGAAAGUGCCUUAUUCAGCAUUAUUGAAAUCCUUUUCACCUUGCAACAAGAUAUGCAGGUUUCAAAUUUAAUAAAAAGAAUUGCAUGUGAUCUAUAAUAUUCUUACUGAAGAUGUCGGCAACCAGGUCGGUUUUCUAUGUAGCUUUUGCCACAUGAAGUUCAUGUGCUCCCUAGUAAAACAAACAGAAGAGAACAACAAAACAAUAGGUCCAAUUAGCAAAGGUUACUUUGACUAAGAAGAUUUGUGAAGGCAGAAGUAAUCUACUUACAACCAAUCAGGAGGAGGGCAGUGCAGGUGACUCACACUGAGGGUGUUAAUGUUCAAGGCUCCAGACCUAACAUGCAUAUGGAAAAGAUUGUCACUGAGAUCUAGACCAUAGCACAGAACACUUAAACAAGUAGAAGAGUAAUUAAAUAUGUCACCCGAAAGGAUGGUGGAUGGAAAAUUCCAAUAAGUCAACAAAGUAACCUUGCUUUACAGUCAGAUAAUUAAUAACAGUGCAACACACUACUUACCAGCCAUUGUCAAGAUGGAAGGCUAACUGAUAUGAGCAACUAGGGUUGAAGUCUAUUGAAAGAAUUUCACUCGACACAAUGUUCGUUUGGUCCUGAAGACAGUGAUCAAAUAUGUUAAAAGAAAAUAAUAUAUAUAGUAGCAAGGAAACCCCCAUUAGAUGAUAUACCAUCUAUCUCACAUUUAAUGAAGGUGCCAAUUGGAGGAUGAGUUAUAAUAGCUUCAAACAAGCCGUAGAAACCAUGCCCUCCAUUUCAUUACUUGAGAUGUGUCAUUUUGUUGUUUUCCCUCCAUACUAAUUUUAAUCCCAAUGGCAAGAAAUGAACUUAUUUUAGGACAACAGAAGUAUGUCCAGGGUUUAGGUACUUCCUGAUAUGGCAAAAACUAAGCAAACUGCCAGUUCGCAGCAAGAAUACAUAAUCUGACUGGUUUAAAGCACUAAAUAAAUCCCCAGUGACCUCCCUUUUCAGCUAGAUGUGCAUAAUGACUGUUAGGUUUGUUCCAAAUAUCAAGAUUUCAAAAUUUUCAAAAGAAAAAACUUGACCCAAGAGAAUUGACAAGUUAACAUACAUAUAGUUUUUUUUUUCUGGUAAACAGUUUUCAGAAGAGUAAACAAGCUCAAGAGGGAUAUAUCAUUGCCGUUUGGCGUUCUAUAUUCUACUGAGUUACCGCAAGUCAAUAUCAUCAAACUUAAUAGUUGCAUGCAAAACAAUAGCUAGCAUUAAUUCUAAAUUUGGGUAUUUAAUAAGUACUCUAUAUGAAUUUGAUAAUUCACAUCUCACCGAUACUGUGACUACAUGAAACAUCUAAAUGCUCACAAGAAUGGAAACUUGCAAAAGGAGAAAUUAAUUUCCUUAUGCGCAAUCAUAAGUUUGUUUUUGUUUUUCAUACCUUUAGCGAUGGAAUUUUGCCCAACAAAGUUGAUAUCUUCACUGAUGAUAAUUGUUGAACCUAGACCCAAAAGAAAAAAUCAUGAACAGAAGUUUGCUAUUCUGAAUAUAUGAUCAUAAAAAUUAUCAAAAUGAAGAUCAAGUAGGAUGGUGCGAUACCGCAUAAAAAUGAGGAAGAGCUAGCAGAGUACCUCAUUAUGGCUUUGAAAAGCAGCUGAUGCCCUCCCUCCACGGAGAUCCCAGGCAUGAACGGUGCCCUCUUUAGUUGCAGCAAACACGGUCUAGAAAAUAAACUGUCAGCCUCCAUCUAUGAAUGGCCCAAACUUUAACACAAAUAACCAAACUUCUUUUUACAUCUCUAAAAUUCUGUAACACUAAGUUCAAUUUACAAGCCAAGUUGGAAACUCAGAAUCUUAAACAGAGAUAGGUCGAUAUGAGAACAUAAUUCAGAAAGCUAAAGAGGCAAAGAGCUUGACACUGCUAAAUUAGCGUACCCGGUUAUCUAUAUUUAGCUUGACACUGCUAAAUUGAGAUUCUGGAUGUCCUAUGAGCUCAAGACAGUGUUUUUUACUUAGCCGCAUGUCCCACAUGAAGACCGCUCCAUCAAGGCCAGAUGCAAAUAACCUAAGGAAGGAGCACAAAUAAGCAUAGCAUAUUAGUAACAACAUUGUUUCAUUUAAAAAACAAGAAGAGGGACGCUGUUGGCAAUCUCUGUAGUAGCUUGCUUUUACAAACCAACAACCACCAUAAGCAGAAUCCAGUCAAUCCACAUACCCUGGCUAUAAUCCUAUUUUCUAUAUUAACAUACCCCAUGCCCACCCAAACAACAAAAGAAAUAUCAUUGCAAUGUGCAAAAUUUGUAGAAUUCCUGGGUUUACAUAGUAUUGUAUGUACAAUAGGGGUUAAAAUUAACCUCAACUUCUAAAUUAAGAAAGAACACAAUAUGCUGUCAAUCACAGCCAAGCUUUACAUCAAAUACUAGCUAGCAAUAGUUUAUGCAUUUACGGUUGCAUUAUUUAAAAGAAGCAAACAUAAUUGGCAUGCCAAGGGUGAACAAUACAAAUUUUGUCACAUACCAUGACUUAUCAUCUGAAGAAAAAGCUACAUCAGUCAAACCUUUGCGGAAUUCAGAGAGCACAGGAUAUCUGGAUCUUCCUUUCCGUAAAAUCUAAAUUAUUAAUAACAGAAGGUCGGUGAGUUAAAAUUGGCAAACAAAGCAAAGCAAAAGUAUUUGAUCUAGAGUUACUAGAAUACAGUUCUUGUAAUGAGAGAAGACAAAACGAACUAUAAAUGGGAAAAGGGCACUUACUUCAGUUGGCGUGGACGAGACACAGCCAAUAUCAAACAGGAGAACCAUGUCAGUUUGUCUAGAUACACAAACUAUCUGCAGCAUGAAUGCAAUUAUAAGAGAUAAAUGAUGGAGAAGAAGAUUUGCCACUGAUGGGACAUAGCCAAUAUCAAACAGGUGUCCAUGUUAUUUGGUAUACAUGUACAAACUAUCCUCAGCAGGCAUACAACAAUAAGAAAUAGAAUGACAGAUAAUACAAGACACGGUUCAUCCUUACAAAAUGAACCCAUCAAUGUUAAAUCGACAAAGUACUUUCUGAUCUGAAAUAAGCUAGAAAUCUAAAAUACCACACACAUAAAGAUUCAGCUAGUGCACAAUUACAGACCUCAUCUUGAUUUGCUGGAUUCCAUCGGACAGCACAUAGGGGCAUUGAGUUUGAUAUAUGUAGCAAAUAGUUUGAUGAUUCAUCUGGCAAACCUACCAACAAACAGUAAAUUGCAGAAGGAUUAUGAUAAAUACAAAGGCAGAAAGUUAUGGAGAACCUUACAAAAAAAAGCAACUUAUCAAGAAAUUAUAACAACUUUUGAGAAAGAACAUUUGGAGUGCCACCUCUCACUUUAUCCCUUCUCUUAGAGUAUGUUGUUGGAAAAUGAAACAAUGCAUUGUUCUUGCCUGGUUAUAAACUUUGUAAUUGAAACUGUUUGUCUCUUUUCCUUUUUUGUACAAAUUGUUUACCCAAUUUAUAAAAUUAACUGCUGGGUGCGCCUAACUGUAGUUUCAUUCCAAAAAAAUGGAAAUGAUGCAUUGGUCACCAUUGCAAUUCUUUUGGUGUGCUCUCAGAUGCAUAUAUUCCAACUAGAUGUGUAGAAGUUUGAAUGCUGAAUUGCAUCAUUUUGUACCAACAAUAAUGCAGUAACAAAAACUACAGAAGUGUACCCAUAUUCUUGGAAAAAGAAUUAAGUCCUUAACUUCAAUAUCACAUUGACAAGAAAAGGCAGGUCUAUCUCAGUGACAAGGAAAAGCAAUUUUAUAAACACAUAAUGGUUUGUGCUAGAAAGGAAAUAUCCACAUUUUAAAACUACACUCACACUCUUGGUCUGCUUAUGUAUAACGGUUUGAGUACUUGCUUAUGUAUAAGGGGAUUCCGACAUGUCUGUGGACUUGAUAUAAUCCAAUUUAAUCUCUUAGAUGGUCAAGUUGGGCUCUGUUUUAACUUACCCCGUGAUGGACCAUAUGUGGAGCAGUAUAAGGUCUCAAAAUCAUGCACGGUUAAACAUCCCGAGGCUGUAACUGAUGCAAGGUAUAUUCCCUGCCAAUCAGAAACACAAGAAAUGUGUGUAAACAUUUUAUAUAGGAAAAAUAGAUAAAUGUCAUUUCAAACAUUAUAGUUUAGAUAUUCCAUCACAAAUUUAUGCUUAGAAACAUGCCAUUACAAAGUUGAUGUGUUCACCAUAUGCCAUUGGAUAUCCAAAUUGACCUAUUUGCCCCAUUUUUCUUGCUCUCUCCUCCCUUUCAGUCUCUCCACCAUCUCCCAUGUUCCCACAGUUUCCACAUUUCCUCCACUCCCAUCUCCAGCACACCUCUUGAGCAUGGGAGGUGUGCUGGAGACAUGAAUUGGAUCCCUCAAAGGUGGAGGCUGCCGUUCAAGAUGUGGACGGCCUAACGCUACAAGACAAAUUGGAGUUAACAUGGACGUGCUGCCAACAAGGGAGCCACAUGGACAGAUCUGCUAGCAAAGUCCAUGGCUGCCAGUGCUGCAAGGAAGGUGCCAGCACUUUGCAAUAGGUGCGUUGCAUGCAAAGGACCGUCAUCCACCCUACCCCAAUGGUGCUGUCGAUCCUCCUCCAAUGCUGCCACUCUAUCUCAGCCACCUCCUGCUAGACUCAGAUGACAGAUCUAGUAGAACCAGAUGGCAGAGGCAGCUGCACUAUCGUAGUGCAUACCGUGGGCAUGGAAGCCAAGUAGAGAAAGGUUGGGAGGAAAGCGACGAAGAUGGGGUAAUUAGGUAAAAUGUGCACACCAGUAGCUCAUAAUGGCAUGUCUCUUACUAGAAACUAUGCGAUGGCAUUGGCAUGUAUGAAAAAGGAAACUUUUAAUGGCAUUAUUCUAAAUUACAACGUAUUAUUGCAUAAAUAUUGUUUUUCCUUUUACAGAACAAUAUGUAACAAUAGUCUUCAAAAAAAAAUAUAUGUUCCAGCCUACAAGCAAUUGCAGUAGGCAGUCAUGCUAAACAAGGAAAAUUGAACUGACAUUUCAACGCUACCUUUUUAUCAAAUUCCAUUGCUGAAAUCCCCUCUCUGCCAAAAGAAAAAAAAAAGGCAAGGUUAUUAGUGUAUUAAAAGGAUGGCUACAAACAGCAGAGUGAAACUCUAGGAAGGAGAUUAUAGCAACUAGCCAACUACUUUAAAGUUUAAAAUUGUGCUUUUAUAAUGAAAUACAGCAAAUAACAUAAAAUAAAAAUGCUGACCUUACUGCUUGAAAUCCCAGGACUGAAUCGUUAACAACUCGAUUCAUCUGAUAGGAGCAAUGGUAGAACUCAUCAGUCAAAUAACGAACAGGGAUUCAACAUUACAAGGUACAUAAUGAGCCUUGUCGGUAGAAAUAAGGUAGGGGAGAGGCACACUAAAAAAGAUUUUUAAAAAAGCACAGGAUGAGCAUUACAUAUGUUGUACAUCGCUCCUGGCCUUCCAUGUAGUAAUUGUGACUGAAGGUCCUUAUCUUCCCAACAUAAAAAUAAAUAAAUUAAUCAAAAUCCAAUAAAAUAUGUUGCAAUAAAACAUGAAAAUGGUUUUCCUUAAAAAAAAAGAACUGGAAAACUGGCAUAGUAACAACUAAAACCACCCUCCUUGUUGUCCUGCAGAAUUCAAAACUAAAACCCUGCUAUGAUGGCAUACACGGUUCUGCCAUUCUCAAAGAAAGAUACUGUGCUAGGAUAGUUAAUAAAGUACAUGUCAUAAGCUCUAUUUCAAGUUAUACCUUUAUGCUACUGGCUGAUUCAUAUUACAUCUAUAGAAUUGUACACGAGUUGAGAUGGUCUCUUAAACAAUAUUUUCCACAUCUCCAGCAGCGAGCAUAGAGCCAUAAGCACCAAUUUGAACCUUGGAGGACAUUGACACAAACUCUUGAUCUACUAAAUCAAAAAGGGCCAUAGCUUUGUUUUUUCGAGAAUGCGCAAAAUAUUUGCGCAUCUUUGUAUUACGAUUAGGGAAUAAAGUCAACAACUUACAAACCAACCCGGACAGAAAAAAGAAACAAAGAGAAGGUUACAAAGGUGAUAUGUCCCGGCAUAAAUUUUGCGACCCUAAUGCUGAUUGUCAACUCCGGGAGCAGACCUGCCGAUCUCCACAAGGCAGCCUCCUCUGCCGCUGCCCUAGCUACGUCCGGCCACGAGUGCUGCUGCUGAUAGAACACCCUGUUGUUCCUUUCCUUCCAGAUGGACUAGGCAGCGAGCACGACGACGGUAUCGAACCCGCGCCUAAGCUGUUAGGGACCCCUUUCCUGAUGCCUGACCACCAGCUCAGGAAAGAACAUUGAGCAACCGGAAAGAGAUCAGGGCGACCAAUGACAUCCUAUAAGUGCUACUUCGCAAGUUCUAGCACUUCUACCAGCUUAUUGCAACAGAAGAAACAUAAGGGAGCAGCUUUGCUAUUGGAAUCUACAACCUAUGAUUAGCAUUACUAAAAAGAAACAAAAAAGUAAAUAUGUCGUUAGCCGCUCUAGAGAAUUCCAGUUCCAGUGUCUAACUCAUAUGCAGUAAUCCCAGUAGUGAAAACAACUUCGUAAUAACCAACACGGAAACAAAGCAAAUGCUCUUUUCCGAGAUUUCUGUCACCUCGGAGAACGAAUCGCGCAGGCGAACGGACUCCCGGUGCCGAAACCUAGCGUCGAUGCGGCCGUCCAGCUCGGCGGCGACGCGGCUCCACCGGUGCCGUCUGCGGAUCGAGAUAAGGUCAGAGAAGCGAAAAAAAAAACGCAAUCCAGUUCAGUAACGGGUGUACUGAGAUCGGGGAAGGGGGGAGCACCUCGGAGGAACCGGUGCCGCCGGAGCAUCGCCGGAAGGUGGAGGCGCCGCCACGAGGAACUUCUCCAUUUGGUAGGGGCUUAGCUUUGGGAAGGAAUCGUCAAACGAAGGCUUCGAUUUCCUGCGGCGAAGAAAUGGCUGUAAAUGGAAAUGGAGCAAACCAAAAAAAAAACAAAAAUCAUCGAAACGGAGGCAGCAAAAAAACAUCCAAUCCAACCUACGCGCGCAAGACCAAAAGGAAGCCGUCCGCCGCCGGCGCUGCCGGAGCUCGAGCCGCCGGAGCCCACGCCGCCGGCCGCCGCUGAGGCCGCGCCGCAAUGCGGAAAGCCUAGGGCUGUUUGGAGCCUAGGGCUUCGUUUGAAUUUUGGAAGGGAGGAAAGCAAAAAACCCAGCAACACAAAAAUUGGGAAACAAAAGAAAAGGAUUUGAAAAAUAUAUAAUGUAUGGAUGGACUGUAGAGCGGUAUUUACAAUAUUAUAUCAAUUUCAGGUUUUUAUUUUUAAUUAUUAAUUUAGAUAAGCAAAAUGCAAAGUCCUAGUUUCUGCAUCAACUAUGGUGCACUAAUAGUAUUUGCCAUCAAUUAAAUAUACCUGAACAAAAACGAAAAGGAAAACUAAUGUAGAGGUAAUCUUAAAAUAGAGAAUGUAGUUUAGUCACAGUGAUCGUUGUUCCAAAUAGCGGGAUAGAAAAGAGAAACAAAGAAUAAAUAUUCUCCCGUUUUAAUUGGAAAAAAUGUAUUGUAAACAUGAUGUUACCGUUGUUAGGUGUUUUUGCGCCAAAAUAACACAUAACAAAUAAAAAGAGACAAGGUAUUAUUGUUAUUAGCAUAUUUUAAAAUUGACUUGUCACUCUAUUGAGAUUCAAUGGUAUUUUAUUUAUGAUUACAUCGACUUAUUGAUCCGUUCUCCCACGCUCCUAUUUCUUGAGUAAAACAUACUGGAAAUGAACAACCACCGCCUCCGAUUCUCCAUCCUUCCCAUACACAACAAGUAUCACCUCACCUAAUCAUAAACAGUUACAAGAUACAAUAAGAACCCCUUUUAUCCAUGUGCCUUAUCACCUUUAACUCAUUUAUCACAUAUAUGCACCUCACUGCCACUCACAUCGUCACUAAUAUAUAUUAAAUAUGAUUGUACCAUAGUUUUGAGUUUUCGCGCCAAAAUAUGACUAUGUAUUAUUGCUAUUAGCAUAUUUUUUAAAUCAUUUUUGUCCAUUCUAUUGAGAUUCAACAAUAUGUAUCUAUCGUUGUAUGCACUCAUCAAUCCGUUCUCCCUAAUCUCACUUCCCUCAUAUAAAACAUACAGCUAUCCAUCACUACUUCGCCCCUUCCCCAUGCCCUUCCACAUAUUAACCUCUCUACAUGCCAUGGGAUCACUGAGAAUUUACCGUGCCACGUCAGCAUUUUUUAAAAAAAACCCUAAGUUUUUAUUAAUAACAUAUUGGUUCUCACCAAUAUUGUCCGUUCGAUCUCGCAGUAGGGUCGAUCUAACCGUUCACGUUCCCGCGGUGGCGACCCUUUCUUAGUUCGUCUUAUAUACCACCUCAAUGCCACUGAUAUCGUCAUUACUCACUCUAUCCCAAAAAAGACAAAUAUAGAAUUGAAUGAUACUCAUUUCCCUUUCCUCAUGUAAAACAUACAACCAACCAUCACUACUUCCACCAUUCCCUGUCUCCGUUUUAUAUACCACCUCAAUACCACUUAUAUCUUCAUUACUCUCUAUCCCGAAAAAGACAAAUAUACGAUUAUAAAUGUUACGAUUUGUUGUAUUAUGUUACAAUCAUAUUCAGUUAUAAGUUGUUUUUUUUUUACGGGAGGAGACGGAGCAAUCACUCUUAUUAGAUCAUACCUUCACUAUCGUUUGCAUACUUGAAUCUAUAAACCUCGUACUCCUACCGACACCCACACUCCAUAGGGAUGUCCAAAAUCUGGCCGAGCACGCUGAUAUGUUACUAAUCCGCUAUUACCUUGUUUUGUUGCGAAAUCGGCCAUCUGCUAUUACUGUUUGCAACCACAGCAAUCGCCCUUCUUUUAUCAGAUCAUCUUGUCUAUACACUAAUGCUGCAAAUCAAACUCAUACAUGCUUUUUUGUUUAAAUCAAUAUAUCCGUAAACAAGUUGAAACAAAUUGUAAACAACCGAAACGUUAAGGGCAACUCGUCAGCAUUGCACCGGCCUAAGUGGCAUGCAUCAAGCACUGAAAGUUAAAUAAGUUAACCUCGCGGAAACAAGCAAAAAAAAAAUCAAAUAGACACCAGUACACAACUUGCAACGCAAUAGCUUAAUUAUGGCUCAAAUGUUAUGCAUUGCACAUUUGAGUAGGUACGGUAACCAUGAACCACCAAAGUAGAUAAUCCUUCUCUUAAUCUUCUCAUAAUAUUUGACAGGCAGACUUCAACAGAAAUGGAGAGUUCACUACCCGGGUACAAAAUUCAGAAGUACAGAAACACACUAGGCAAAAAGACUUCCUCAGAACUUGAAACUUGUACCGACUAACUUAGAAUGUCAUCUCAUGGGGCUUGUCGCCGUCCCUGAGAGAGAACCGGGCACCAAGAUAGGAUUUCAGGUCUGGGACAACCUCGAUAGCCUUGAUCAACUCAGCAUCCACAGCCUUCUGGUCAUCCUUCUUGAAGUCGGGCAGAUUCUUGGUUGCCUAUAAGAUUCAACAGAGAAUAGGCAGGUGAGUUAGCAUUGGAGCUAAACCGGUAACUGGCCAUGGAGGAAUGCCAUACAGAAUCAAGACAUACCUCCUUCUCUGUCUCAAAAAGUUCACCCUCGGUCUUCUUGGCCUUUGCCUUCUUGUCCCGGGCAAAGUACUUGUCAUCAAACUUAUCCACCUUAACACCAGAGAUGUCAACCUUCGUGGAUGUGGCAAUGACGUAGGCCUGGUUCACACGGCGGAUGGGCACUCCAUUGAUCUUAAAAGGUCCUGAAGGAGAACAAUAAGAAUUUAGGCCAAAAUCCAGUGCUUUGAUUGUAAAAAUCUGAACCCAACCAAUUCAUUGAUUGUAAUCAGAGCUUAACCAAUUUCCUGGCUUAGGUCAGAUCCCAUCAAAAUGAAAUUAACUUGAUUAAAACAAAGUGAGACUAUUACAUUCUACUAAAAACAUCAAAAUAUGCCAGAGGGUGAGUGGCAAAAAUAUACAAUUCCCUUUUUGCAUUCAGUGUGCAUGUUAUAUGGAAUUUCCAUUACAAAAAACAGCACAAUCCAUUUUACAUCUUUGUAUUACAGAUGCAAAUUUCAGCUCAAUCUAUAUCAAUGAGGCAAAAGAUUCCUAACAAAACAAUAUUUGCCAAAAUAACUAUGAUGGAUUGAUUGUCCCUGCUUGUUUGAAAGACCAGCUCUUAUGAGCAAUUCAGAGUAGGCACUAAAAUUGCGGUUUAGAGAACAUAGUAACAUCAAAAGUUUAGUAGUUUUAGCCCUACAUUUUUUUUGAGUUAUUUGGUUUUAUUUCUUAAUAAUACAGUUGUUACUACUAACAAUUAACAUGACUCAAUCGCAUGGAUAUGAAUAAUACAGUAUCUAUUAGGGAAAUGAACACUCGAUUAUAAAUUGGGUAAUAAAUCUCACAUUUGCAUCAGAUAUAAAUCGACAUAAGCUACAGGUACUGAUUUCACAAUUCCCGAACUAAAUAACAAACGAAGUGCAACUAUACAAAAUCAAUUCAUAGAUCCGCACACUACAAGCUUCCCAGAUGGCACAGCCACAAGCCAAAAUCAAUCAUCGCAGUAUCACAGGCACGGGGAGAGGCGGGAAGGGGUUUACCGGUGAUGAGGAGCAGGCCGGACUUGAGCUGCUUGAGGAACACGACGCGCUUCCCCAUGUACCUCCCGGCGAGCAGGAUCAGCACCGUCCCCGGCGUGAUGGUCGACCUGCAUCACGCAAACAAACAAACAAACAGAUAAAAAUCACUCAGGAACACCGAUCCAUAGAUCACGAGCAGCCGAUAGUUGGUCGCAUGGCUGAGACCUGAGCUUGGUAGGGUUGGCCUUGCGGGUGCUGGGGGCGCGGGGCUUGACGUCGUCGGCGGGGUAGAACUUGGGCUCGGCGGCGGCGGCGGGCUUGCCGGCCUUGGGGAAGGUGCCGCCGUUCUUGGCCUUGAUGGCCCAGAGCCCGCGGCGGUGGUAGGUGUGCGACCGCGACGCGCGCUUGAUGCCCUGCGACAGCUUCGACGUCGGCGCCAUUGCUGCGGGAGGCGCUUCGCUGCGGCGCGAGAGAGAGGGUGGAGGCGGCGGUGGGGUGGGAAGGAGAAUGGAGGGGAGGGUUUGGUCGCAGGUUUAUAUACGUGCGGCGGCGUGGAGGCGGAAACCCUAGCUUCUUGGGCUCUCCUGGAUUUUGGUCUUGGGCUCGUUUAACGCAGCACGUAUGCACGCGGUAUGUUUCGGCCGUGGAAAAAAAGUCCACUUAACAUCCCUCAAAAAGUAUUGAUUGCUUGACCCUUAACCGCAAAACUGGGUAUGCCUCCAACUUGUAAAACUAAGUACAAAAUGGACGUAAUCUAUAUUUGGUUUACGGUUGAGGGAUGCAAAACCAGAUAUAGAGUAUACUCCAACUCGUAAAACUAAUGUAAAAUAAACGUUUUUAUUAUAUGAUUGAGGGAUGCAAAUGAAACUCAGACAUAUAUCAGGGACGCACAUGAAACUAAUCCGUCCGUUUUGUUUUGCUAAGUUCACAGCCCAUAAUAAGAGCGAAGCGUUUGCUCUAGACAGAUUUUUACGGGUAGAUGUUUUCCCCCUCGUUAUUUUGACAAAAAGUAAUUUCAAAUCUUUUUUGAUUACCUCACGGCUAUCCUUGGUACUUACUUUCGGUUGCAUGAUCUUGUCUGAUAGGGCAUAAAACGACAUAUAAGCAACAGAAGAAAAAAGAUUUGUUGGUAAACUUUAUGUUUGUGUUAUUGCAGUUUAAAAACCAACAUAAAAAAUAAACCUAUAAUCAACUUCAAAAUUAAGUUUUAAAAUUUAAACUUUAGAACUGACUUAUGAGCAGAGCGCCAAACGAUGGAAAGUGACUCUUUUUUCCCCUUCCUAUAAGCUUGCUCACAUCGGGUCCUCGUUUUUGGCCCUGUUUAGUGGAGCUUGUCCCAGCUGUAGCUUUUUCCAAAAGCUGCCCCAAACAAUCCAUAGCUUCUGAGAAUCUAUAGUUACAAAUUCUGAAAAAUGAACUAAGAAGCCAGAAGCUGACAGCUGCUUCUCAGAAUUUUAAGCUCCCCCAAACAGGCCCUUCAAAUUGUAUUGUGCCAAAAACAUGGUAAAACAGUGGUAACAAAAAAACGUAACAAGCAAUAAGCACAUAUAAGUCUACUAAUGCGAAUUAUACUUUUAAGCACGAGACGAGAUGGAGUUAGGAUAGGACACUAAAAUCUUAUUCAUGUAAAUAAUAGACUCAUGGUGUCAUACAAGAAAUUCCACGAGAUAUAGUAAACAAAACUCGUGUCGGGUGACAGCGAGAGCAACUAGUUUAACGGGGGUUGAUGGUUCAAUCACUAUAGCUGAACUAGUCCUCCCCUUUCCAAAGUUCAGCAAAUUCAUCAGGCUCCAGAGUGUUCUCCAUCUCGUGCAUCUUCCUCCUCACCUUAGCCUUGACCUUCUUGGCAUACUUGCCGGCCUUCUUCCGCUUCUCUAGUGCACGGAUCUGACGAAGAUAACAAAAUAAACAUAUGAACUACACGUGCAGUCGUGCAACAUGAGGGUAAAUGAUUUGUUAUAGUUGAAUCAAAAUCACAAUGCUUAGACGAAUCAAUGAACAGAGCAAACACAACAGCAAAAACUUUUGUUGGUCCAUUUAAUGAUACACAAAAGAAAGCGUAAGCAUGACCAGAACAAACAAACCUAGAUUGCUUUAACAUUUUCAGGUGCUCACCUAAGAUGCUCAGAAAUAUGUAUUGUACAUACACAGCAAUCAAUUGGUGGUAAAAAAGGGAUACCUGAUUGGGAGACACAUAGAAUGGAUUCUCGUACAAUGUAGGGCCACCGAAACUACCGCCAAAUAUUUUGAUUGGGUUCAAACAGAACCUUGGGCCAACCUACACAGCAAGUUCGAUCUCAAAACUGAAACUAAACUUGGAAACAUAAAAAAAUAUUAUACAAAUAGAAGCUAUGCGCCUUUACCUCAACAAGUGUCAUCUUGUCCAGACCUCCUUUAUCAACCUUGUCAAUCUCAUUGUGGGGAACAGAAAUCUGACAAAGUUGAUCAUACGGUAAUAUUCAGACAAUGCUAGGAACUUCUAUUGCUUGUAACUGGCAGGAGUUAAUGAAAAUUAAGAAAACAAACAGACUAAUAUAUUACCUGAUAAUUUCUAAACCAAACAUGGUCAUCAACGAUAGAGAAGACAAACACAUGGUCAUGAAAAGGCUUUGCCUUUCGAUGAUCUUUUGGAGUAGCAAAUAUCUGCAGAGCAAAUAAUAGUUAGUUUCUUAUGUUUUUUAGGGCAAGUUUGUUUCUCAACUGCUUUACUAGAAAAGAAGCAUGUAUAACUUCAUCACGGAUUGCAUUCCCCCAGUUCUCCAUAAAGUUCAUAACAUGUGAAAGCUAAAACAACAUUCAUAUUGGCAUCAUGACCAAAUAUUAAUUCUGAAAACUGACAGCAUUAAGAAAAAGGUGUAUGAUGGAAAGUACUAAAAAAUUGUGAAGUCUAGAACCAGAUUUUUAAAAGGAUUACACUUUCUUAAUCAAAGUUAUCAACAUGUCAAAAAUGGAUGUAAAGUGUUUCAUGUAGACAGUACAGCAGAUACCUACAGGCUAGUCCAUAAACAACAGAACACUCUCAAUACUUGUGAAUUGAAUUCACAAACUGGGUUCUACAAGUACAAUAAGACAUUAUCAAAAAACAUGUAUUUAAUUCAACUACUCAAGUUUGAACGCUGUUACCAGGCAAAAAACCAAGACUAAAGUCACAAUAAGUUGAUAAAGAUUAGUUAUUUAGUCUAGUGCAUGAUCAACUUGUUCAUUGAUAAGAAUGCAUGUAGAGCAAAAUAACAUAUCAAAUCAGUCAUGCACCUGGGUUAGCAUUUCUUUCACAAGCUGCCAGUGAGGUUGUUCAUCAAAAUUUGUAGAAAAUGUUAUAAGAGGCCGUGACCCUUUCAGAUGGUUCCCUGUAAGCUUCAACUCCUCCAUGGUGUGAACUGCAUGUAAACAUUACUGGACAUUUAGGCACUGAUGGAAUAAUGUCCAUAAUCUUGUACAGAUUACAGCUCACAAAUACUUGACAUACUUACCAGCAUUAACUAGAAAUUUCACUGAUGGUCCUCCAGGGGACUUAACCAUCCAAAGGUAAAGAUCCUUCUGUUUUCUGCACUGUAGUAUACAUAUAGAAGAAGUUCCACCAUCAGAAUUGCAAUACUAAGGUCUAAACUGAACAGAGAAUUUGAAGCUCCAAGCUUUAUUAUCAUAGUGAAGUAGUAGCUCAGUAAUCUCCGCAGCAGAAAAGAAAUAUAGAAUUACUAAAGAGUGAAAUUGUUUUAGCGCUAGAACUACAAAUCACUAGCUUAAUGCAUGUUAAGAACAGAAGUAUAGAACGAUUCAACAGCUAGUGAUAAUCCUAUUGCAUGCUUCUCCUAUCAAGCACGCAACCAUCAGCGCAUCAAAGAUGAGGCCUGAAGCAACUUGAGAUCGUAGCAGUAUAUGUGUAAAUAUAUACCUCGAAGAAGAGGCAGCUGGAGCAGUUCCUGAGCUCGAGCAGCUCGUUGAGCGCAUUGCCCUUGCUCUGCUUCGACUCGACCUUGCUGUCCUUCUUGGCGUGCGGCAGCAGCGACACCACGUUCUGCAUCAGAUGCCGAUACCUACGAGCAAAACCCACCACCCCAAUCCCCCCACAAAAACAACACAUCCACACAUCAAUCGAUCUAUCCGCCGCCACAUCACACCGAACGAAAAAAAAACGAGCGCGCGGUGCGGCGCCACUCACCGGUAGUUGAUUCGGCGGGAGCAGGUCACGAGCACCUUCUCCUUGUUGCGGAACGGCGCCGCGGCGGCGGCGGCGGCGGCAUCCUCUUCUCCCUCAGAGGCGGCCUCGGCCUCGGCUUCCUCGUCGUCCGCGGGCUUCUCCUUGAAGCCGAAGAGGGUGCGCUCCGGGCGCUGCGGCGCGAACUCGUCGGGCUUCUCCACCGCGGCCGCCGCAUCGGAGGAGCGCUUCCGCUUCUUCGCCAUGGCUGGGGCUCGAAUCGCGGCGGCGGCGGUCGCAGCUGCUUCGGCGGCGGCGGCGCGAGGAAGAGAAUGGGGGUGUAUAUGCUUCGCGGAGGAGGCGAGCGGAGGGUUUAAGGUCAGAGACCUGAAUUAAGUGGGCCUAGCCCAUGUUCGCAUCUAGUUAUGGGCCGACGCAGUGCGGCCCACAUUUUACGGCUGGGCUCCAACCCUCUCAGGUCAAUGGGCCACCACGGCCCAUAUAUGGUCGACACAGCGCAACGAACGAGAGGGGGAAUGUGGUGAAUAAUCCCACCUCGCUGGCCGGAGGAGAUGCGGGGUGCGGCUGGUGCUAUAUAAGGUGGGUGAGGUGCAACGAAAAAACUUGCCUUAAACUAAUGAGUAAGGAAAACAAAGCGUUGCGGUGAGAGCCGCUCGCGGUGCGGGACUCAAACCCUGCACGGCAAUUUUUGCGAGGGGAAGAGGCUCGCGCGGGUAUUGACACUGCUUACUUUUGCAGGACUUGCCUGUGUGGGCCUCCCUACCCACAAAAUACCAAAUCUAAAUUUAGCUAUAGUUAAUUAAAUAGAACUCUUUUUAAAAAAAUUCAAAUUUGAUUUGUAAUAAAUUAUAGUAAUAUUUAUAAUAAAAACAAAUAUUGUAUUAAAAUAUGUUUAAUAUAAAAUAAAAUUAAAUUGUAGUACUUCGAUUUAAUGUGAGUUAUUUUAGCAUUUUUUAUAUUCGUAUUACAUUUGUAUUGAUGUUAAUGAAUUUAAAGAGUAUUGAUGUUAAUGAAUUUAAAGAGAUUUAUAUGUUUAUAUUCAUUAAUAUUAGAGAAAAUGCUAGAAUGACGUACUCUCUUCAUCUAUUUCUUAUAGUCAUAUUUCAUCUACAGAUCAAGAAUAAUUAAUUCUACAUAUUUGCAUUUCUCGAUGCCCAUAAAGCCAAUCUACAUAUUUGCAUUUCUCGAUGCCCAUAAAGCCAAUCUUGUGUGUAAGAAUAGAGUAGAUGUUAGCUAUUUUUUCUAUAAAUUUGAUUGAAUGAAUGUAAGCUAGUUUUUCUAUAAAUUUGAUUGAAUGAAUGUAAAGAAUUUUGACUAAGAAAUAAUAUGACACUGAGUAAAACGGAGAGAGUACUUUCUCUCCGAAUUGGUUUAUUUUGCUGUAGUUAAUACUUUUUCUUUAAAAAUUGUUAGCUUGAUAUUUUUUACCUCCUUAAAAAUCAUCUCUUAGGUAACCUUAAACUAUAAAUAUUCUUUUCCCAACCCUUAAUCUAACAUUGAAUAAAAUAGCUAUUACAAUUGUUUGAAAACUAUUUUUUAUUUUGAGCAUUUCUUAAGCUAUACUUAUGCUUUCUUAUUUAUAAAUGGUUAAAUCUAGUUGAAGAUCUUCACUGCUCACUGCGGGUGUAAGGGCAUGUUAGGUUGAUAUUUAAAUCUGUUAAGCCCAUGUUGUUUUGCUGUCACCUCUUGAGCCGGAGAAGUCACAUGAUCGAUUGAUCAGUGAUUGGUCCAUCCGUCCAAAGUGCUUGAAUUACACGUACAAAUGUACGAUACAUGCACCGCUGUAGUAACACCGAAUUUGUCUGUGACAGAUAUAGCCCCAACGUUUCGAUCUGUCACCAGAGGGGGCGUUUAGAUUUAUGGGUGUAAAGUUUUGGUACGUCACAUCAUAUAUACAGACACAUAUUUAAAGUAUUAAAUAUAAAUUAAUAACAAAUAAAAUUACAAAUUAUGUUUGUAAACUGCGAAACGAAUUUAUUAAGCCUGAUUAAUUCGUUAUUAGGAAAUGUUUACAGUAGCACCAUAUUGUCAAAUAAUAAUAGAGCAAUUAGGUUUAAAAGAUUCGUCUCACAAUUUAUCCACGGAUGUAAUUAGUUAUUUUUUUAUAUUUAAUAUUUGAUCUGACAGAGCGAAAAAUUUUGUCGGAUCUGGACAAGCACAAAGGCAAACUGCACUGCAGCAUCGCACCGACGCGUUGCCUUUUUCACGAAGCUUCGCACCUCUGUGUUUGUCUGUGGCUCUGUUUCAUUCUCGAUUUGCGAUGGGGCACCCUGUGGUACCCGAUAACAACAUGCUACCAAACCCGAAAACCGUGCACCACCAUGAUUUGGUUGAGGUUUCGAACGUGAAAGUACCGGUCAACCGCAAGUAGUGGCAAAGAAACAAGUGCUCCCAAGAUUUUAAAAGGGAUUGCCAGGAUUUCGAAUAUAAGAAAUUGAGAAUGUUGCACUUGUGUUCAAGCCUUUCAAACUUAAAAUCAAGUUUAGAAGGUUGUUAACGAGAGUUCGAUCAUCGUCAAUUUUCAACGCAAGUUUAAUCGUUUAACCUACAACCAAGUUUCUCAUAUGAUCUAUGGGAGAUUACCGUUACCCCACAAUAAGACGGUUAUCACGGUAACCGUUUGGUUACCGCUAAAGACCAUGUGAAUUUUAUCUUCUAAAAUUUAAAUAUCAAAAUUUAAAUCUUAUGACAAUAUCGCGAUUACUGUGGUUAUGUCGUGGCAAUCGCAGCACGAUAAGGCGUGGUAAACAUGCUCUUUUGACUUAAAUAAAAAGAAAAUCACGGGAAAAAACCACGUUUGACAAUAGAAAUAUAUAAUGUCUACAACUAUGAUGAUUAUAGCAUUCACAUAUAACAUUCACGAGCAUCAAACAUCGAUUUUGGACCAAUGUUGCCUUUUAGUCAUGCCAAAAUAUAGAAUUAGCUUUAUUUUUAUAAAGUUUUGUCACCAGAUAUCAUUGCAAAUCAUGUAUUGAUCCUAUAAAUUUUAGGAGAAUUUAUCCUUUUUUCAUAAUUUGGAUCCGAACAAAAUUUACCAAACCCUACUUCCAAUAACUCUUAACAUACCCUCACAAAUAAGGACGGUUUAGCAAACCUUGUCUACAGCUAGUAAGCCAUAAAAUGGAUUAUUAAUAGAAAAAAAUAAUGAAUAUACUUAUAUAUAUCCAUGUUCUUAACGACUUGAAAGCCAGAAUAAAACUACGAUUAAAAAAACUUACAAAUCAACUCUAAAAUUUAGUUUCACAAUUCAAUUUUUGUAUGCAAUUGAUAAGUCAAAAGGCAAAUGAUGGUCCUGCAGAACUGAUCGGUGUGUUGAGCUCUUUGGUUGCAUGUAUUAUUUUGCCAAAUAUUUUGAGCUAAGAUACGGCACGCCACAACUUUUGUGGCUAAGGAACUAUUAGCUAUGCAAACUUUGGCUAUGAAUAGUACACAAGCGAGGACCCUAAGUUGAAUGUUAUGACACAUGAAAAGUGUAAACAAACCAAACGUUGGGCUAAGUUGAUUAAACCUGCGUGCUAAUGUUAUGGCAAACUAAGGCUAUGAAUCAAACAACAACUAGUCUUCAAAAUGGCAUAUAGAUGAUGUAUGGUUAUUCAUUGUAGAGGCGAUGCUACACUAAUGGAUCUUCCGCUUCGGUUUGAUGUGAUCCAAACAUAACUGGUAUAAUGAAUGGCCGCUAAUUUUAGAGAUUCUUCUUUCUAGUUUUAGAAAUAAAAUGACUAUAUGCAACUUAUAAGCCACUAGACAACACAAUGGUUUUAUAGAUUCUUGCAUCCAUAUUCGAAAAUGCAAGUGUUAUCUCUGCCUUCAGGCUUGUGUUAUACUAAUUGAUUUUCUUGUUUUGAAUUAAAAUUACGAUUUUGUGACUUGCAAUCCUUCUGAAAUUUCUUCAUCUAAAAUAAAAAAAAGAGAAUGCACCAUGCAUUUUGGAACUACUAAGAGAAAGUAUAAUAGGAGGUUGUAAGCCAACUAAAUACCGAGGUAGAGCAGAGAAAGAGGAGAGAAGACAAAUUAACCAUGUACUACCUUCGUUUCACAAUGUAAGUCAUUCUAACAUUUUCCAUAUUCAUAUUGAUGUUAAUGAAUCUAGACAUAUAUAUCUGUCUAGAUUCAUUAAUUGUAACUUACAUUGUGAAACGGAUGAAAUAUUAAUUAUAAAGAGCUAACUAUUAUAUGGGUGGGCUGAGAGAAGACUAUAAAGAAUCUUACAUACAACAAGUCAGCUGUAUUAUUAACUUUGCUCUAAUAACCUGUCAAGUUGGGAUGAUGCUGAUUUGGAAUUUUACAACACCUUUCUUUGAUUGCUGAGGCUGCCAAUAAGAAGGCGACGCGAGCAAAAAAAAAAAAACGAAAACAAAAAGGCGCAAAAAAGAAGGAAAAUAUUUUAGCCCACACCCCCUUGCGUGGCCCCCACACCCGGCCACACCCCCUGCAAGGCUGCAACUGCAAAGCUCCCCACGCCACGGUUCCACCACCUCCACCUCCACCACUCCAUCCAUCACCACGUCUCGCCCCUCGUCCAUUCCUUUUUCCCUCCCUCCCUCGCCUGCCUCCACCUCCACCUCCACGGGCGUCGCAUCACAACGCAGGCGCACCCCCAGCAACCUCCUCCUCCACCACCGCAGAUCGCGCUGCGAAUCCGCCCGCGGGCGGCGGCGGCGGCGAGGACGCGAGCCCCAGAGGAGUACGGAGGAGCCUUCGAUCUAAUAGGUGCGCGCCGCGUAAGCCUUCGCCUGGCCUGGCCAAGCUCUUCCGCGCGAUUCGCGUUUCGCUGGGGAACGCGACGCCGCGGCCCGCCCGCGUGGGUAGGUUCGGUUUCACCGGGCGGGGCGCUCGGAUCUGCAUUUGGCAUGGGGAGGGAUGGUUGGAUUGGAUUGGAUUGGAUCGUGCGUGGGAAUGGGAUCGCAGCGAUCUGCGCGCGCGGGGGUGUGUGGCACGGGAGCGUAUUUAGUUGGUUGUUUUGUUUGGUGGUUAUUUUAGAUGCUUGGUUGAAAUCUGGCUGAAAGGCACCACGAAUUCCCUUUACUUCUGGUGUUUAUCGAGGAUGCACAGCGGUUUCGACGAGAUGAUCUUAUAUGAGGCUGAUCGUACUGGAGAUGUGUUCAUAGCAUCCGCUCUGCUUAGGAUUAACCAGUUUAGAAUACACGGUCUUAUGGAUUCUGUGAUUUCUGCGGAGUUAGUGCCUCACAGCAACGCCAUUGCUUAUAUCAGAUAUCUUAGUGGAGAACUGUGCCAGCAAUCGGGUUUACCUGUGGGUGACUAGUCACACCCAUUUUGGUUCACUUGGAUACUUGGAUUACCCUUAAAUAAUUAAUUAGUUACAGAGAAUAUGGGUUCUCCUCUUUUUAACAAAGAAUUUACGUUUUGUUUGCUGGUCCUAGCUUAAUACUAUGUUAUCCAAUUCAGACAGGCCGAAAGUAAAAUUUCAGCUCAUUGCAUGACAUGGCUUAUUACUUCUUAUUUUCUUACCUUUGUCAAAUGUGGUUAUCCUUAACUGCUGGGUGUGCCAUGUGCAGUUGCUAUGUUAAAUCUUCAGAUUAGUAAAAAUCCUAAACGGUAAUUGUAUUAGGGCCUAGGUGAUGGAGCUUGAUAACCUUGUUUGAGCAGCUAGUAUUUCUUUUAAUCUUGUAGUACACAGAUAUAGUGCUAUACUUUUACAAUUACAGUUUUACUUACUGCAUAUUGGAGCUUCACUCUUUCUUUUUAUCUACACAGAAAUAUUUGUAAGAGCGCACUGACAAAAAUUAAACAGUGGAUUUUCAUUUAUAUUCGUAGGGGCACGCGGAAAAAAAAAUAAUGUGGAGGUUCAAUCCCUUCGGGGGGAAAGUACAAAAUGGAUUGGAAGGUCGCACCAUUGAUGUUGGCAACAUUAAGAUUACAGUACGCAAUGCUAUUGCACAAGGAGGUUUCUCUUGUGUAUAUCUGGCAUCCGACGCAAUGCAUCCAUCAAAGCAGUACGCAAUGAAGCACAUCAUCUGCAACGACUCAGAAUUGCUUGAUCUUGUAAUGGAGGAGAUCCAGGUGAUGAACCUCCUCAAAGGGCAUCCUAAUGUGGUUACACUAGUUGCCCAUGAUGUUUUUGAUAUGGGCCGCACAAAGGAGGCACUACUUGUUAUGGAGUUCUGUGAGAAGUCCUUGGUUAGCGCAAUGGAGAGCAGAGGUACUGGUUAUUAUGAGGAGAAGAAGGCACUUUUGAUUCUCAGAGAUGUAUGCAAUGCAGUUUUUGCUAUGCAUGGUCAGUCACCACCAAUUGCACAUAGGUAUGUUGAAAAAAAAAAUUAAAGUAUCAAAGAUAGUUAUAUCUCAUCGUUGCUAGAACGUUUUAUGUGCUUUUAUCAAGUAUUUGAAAGUACGUUCCUGCAGUAGUUAUGCUGUUCUGUUUUACUGUUUGAUUAGAUUACUUGAAUUCACUAAGCAAUUGCUGGUAUAUUAGCAAACUGUGUAUGUACUAAAUUUAUGUUCUGUUGUGAAGUGCGGAACUCCUGCACCUUGUAGCUUGUCUAUUUUCUCAAGGCUGGGCAUAUGCAAACAAAUAAUCAGUUAGGGUUAUUCCAGAUUAGGUGUAAAUGAGGGACCUGGUUUUAUAGCAAUCGCUUUAUUGUUUAUCACCUACAUGCAUCUUACAUUCUGCCUCUUUUCUGAUUCUUUAGGGAUCUGAAAGCUGAAAAUGUUCUUCUUGGAUUAGACGGUGCAUGGAAAUUGUGCGAUUUUGGAAGCACAUCAACAAACCAUAAAUGCUUUGAUAGGCCAGAAGAGAUGGGGAUUGAGGAAGAUAUCAUCCGGAAGCAUACAACCCCAGCAUAUAGGGCCCCUGAGGUAAAGAAACAAUUGCCCAUGGAGUAAUUUAUAGUUUUUAAAACCUGUGUAACCCCCAGUGACCCCAUGGAUGCAUUUUCCAGAUGUGGGAUCUUUACAGAAGAGAAGUUAUUAGUGAGAAAGUCGAUAUCUGGGUAAGUGUAAUUAUAUUCACAGCAAGUACUAUUAUAUGCUAUAUCCACUUUAAUUAUUAUGCUGGCAUAUCUACUUAGCAUUUAGAUACAUCUUGGUGAAUCACACUGUUCUUAAUUUUUGAAAUCUAUAUAUUCAUCCUGCAAUGCAUUAUAUUCAAACCAAGGUGAAUUUGUUUAUAAAAUUUUUUUGAAUUGACAUUUGGCAGGCCUUGGGGUGCCUUCUAUAUAGAAUAUGCUACUUCAAGUCUGCAUUUGAUGGAGAGUCCAAGUUGCAGAUACUUAAUGGCAAUUAUCGUAUUCCAGAGCAACCCAAGUAUAGUGCCGCUGUCACAAAGUUGAUCAAAGAUAUGCUGGAAGCCUCUCCAAAUGACAGACCUGAUGUCACGCAGGCAAGAGCUUUGAUUGAUUGGCCAUUCAUCUCCAUGAUACUAGGUUAGUCAUAGACUGUUGCAUGUAGCCUUAGGAACCACAUAAGCAUAUUUUUCUAAAUCUGAUGUUAGACUUUGUACAUUUGACAGGUCUGGUUUCGUGUAAAUGAACUACUACCUCUCGAGUUACAGAAAAAUCUACCCGAUGGAGCUUCGUCAGGCAUUUCCAUGAGUUUGCAAGAUGAAGGUAUGCUGAAAGACAUGCUAUUGGCACUAGAAUGCACUUCAUUAUUCAUGUGGGGUUGCUUCAAAUGUAUGUGGGCCAUCUUCAAAUAAACAUAUUUUUUGGUAUUUCUUAUGCACUCGUAUAUCUUUUUCUCAUCAGGGAGCUUUUGGCAUCCUCUAUGAUUUGUUUGGAUGUUAUGAUUAUGGGCAUUGCUUCACUGCAUUUGUCAUUGACCUAUUUUCUUGUCCUAUAGGCUAAGCAACCUUUCUGUCAUGACCUACCUUCUUGUCCUCUAGGAUAUACAGCCUUUGUGCCAUGCCAUCAUGAUGUGCACUGCAUGCUAGAAUAAACAUUUACUGUUCUAGUCUGAUUGUUAGUUCUAAAUAUUUUCUAAAAGAUAGUGUGAUUGUUGGCUGAGGUAGGCUUACUGCAUUAUUUUGCUAUUGUCAAUUCAGACAGAAGCCACCAAAUCAUGUAAGAUUGCAAUAAUUUGUUUGCAUAAUUGGAGCCUUGUCUUGUUUUUUUCUUGUAUAGGUGCUUAUAAAAGAACACAUGUGAUGCCUAGAAGGAACCCGCCUCCUCCUCCAAUAGAACAAUCCAAUAGUUCGUUAUCUCAUGGAAGCUCAAAGGCAGGAGAUGCACCUCUAGGUGCAUUUUGGGCAACACAGCAUGCACAGGGUUCUCAAGUUGCAGAUAAUAGGAACUCUUUGUUUGAUGAGGAACCAAUAAAACCAUCACCUUCAUCAAAGCAUAACCAAAGCAGAGGGGAUAUCAGCAUCAGUGCCCCUGGAGAUAGACAUGGUCGUUCUGGCCAGGCUGUCCGGGGUACACCAAGUAACUCUGUAUCAAACAAUGGGCUUGCAAGUGGUGCUAACACAAAUCUGUUCAUGGAGUCACAAAGUUCUUUGAAAACUAAAGAAUCACAACCAAAAUCAGAGAAGGAUCCCUUCAACAGCUUUGUCGCUGAUUUUGAAGCAAACAAUCUCCAUUCUGGGACCAAUGUUGCUAGUAAGGAAUCUGAGCUUGAAGCAGAAGUGUCCAAUCUGAAGGAGCAGUUGAAGAAAACAUCAUCAGAGAAGGCCGAGAUGACAGCCAAGUUUGAAAAGUUGUCUGCAAUAUGCCGCUCCCAGCGCCAGGAGAUUCAAGAGCUCAAGCGCACUCUUGCCGAGACUACACCUCCAUCAAGCAAAGUCAGCUCAAGAUUACCAGACUCCGGGCCACAGGUUCGUGCUCCGUUUGUAUAUCUGGUACAACGUAUUUAACCUAUUUCUUAAUUCUGUUAGAAUCUUACCUGAGACUUGCAUUCAUAUGUAGCGUAAGGAGAAGAUUGAAGGAACGGUGUGGGAGCUUGAGCAAGGAAUGCUCGCAAACUCAUUACCUAGCUCUGAAGCCAAAACAUGGCAGGCAUUCCCUGACCCCAAAUCUCAACCUGCUCAGGUCAGACCAAAGGUUGAUCAUUCUACCAAUGGAGCGCAAAACCUGGCAAGGAACGCAAACUCAAGACAAUCACCAGAUGGUUGGGGUUUCGGGCCAGAUAGUUUCAGGACAUCACCAGGGAGUACUGCCGCUCAGAUCAACAGGCCCACUGCUCAGGGGAGUUCCUCCCAGAGAUUCAGCUCAGGAGCAGCGAAGAAAGUGGAGCAACCAUCAGGGUGGGCCGGAUUCUAACUUCUCGUGGCCAUUCGGCAAUUGUCCAUUCUCAUUCCGAACUACUAGCUGCCCUAUGCUGCAAUUGCGAGUUGAAGAUUGAUGAGUGUGGCUAUGGUUCUUGCCCUGGCGUAGGGUGCCAUGAUUGGUUAUUUUCAACAUUGUUCAUAGUUGGUCAAGCCGACCUAGACAUUGGUGUUCUGCGGCCGUUUUGCCAAUACCUUGUCAAUAAACACAUCUUCAAAUCUAAUUACAACGUCUGUAUGUACUUUACGUGUGAAGCAUGAACACGUGAUGGCAAUGAGCCCUGGCACAACGCACAACAGCCAUGCCAUUUACAUGCUACCUCGGUACUCCAUAUUCAAUCCUUAUCCGCAGGGUAAUGCCGUGCUAAUCUCACCGUCUUUGUAAGAUGUAUACAAAUGGAUUGCUCAAUGUUUUGCCUGUUGUAAUCACAACGCAUAUUGAACCGCAAGCUAACAGGCAGCGUGACGGAGCUACUGGGUGACUGCUACCUCGGAGACAGGCUAGAGAUUUCUACUUCAAUUAAUCAACUUACGCGCCCAUCGAUAAUAAUUUAUGUGUUCUUAGUAAUAAAAGUAAAGGCUGAAAAAUAAACUUUGAUAAAAAAACCCUCAAAAUUAGCUUCAAAUUUAAUGUGAAAUAUUUAAAUUUUGACUUAUAAGUAUAAAUAUAAACGAAAAGAUGAGGGUAUUUGUAGUAUUUAGCCCGGGAGAGCGCACAAUUUUUAGUACGAUCAGUUUUCCGCCCAUCAUUACGCCUACUCAAGUGCUUACCUUGUGCAACUCCAGUACCAUGAGAAACCACACCAAUUAACUUAAUCAGAGUUAUGAGAAGAAUGCAUCAAAUGAUCAAAUGGAACAUGAUUGUCAGUCACACAAGACUUUCACUGGUCAGGGAAGCAAAAGACUGUUUGGCUGUUUGCAUAAGCUUCUCGGUGAAGUUGACGAUGGUGAGGUGAGGCCGUGAGGCUAACGAGAAGCUUCGCUGUUCCAACACCAGGGGGAUUCAGCGGAUUCGUGGACACCCAGAGGCGGGCUCCGUGCCGGCCUGCCCAGCUGCAGAUCUCGGAUGUUUCCCUGAGACAAAAACAGAGAAGGAAGAGGCCCAUGUAAGAUGGGCUUUCAAGUCAGCUCAAGCACCCACUUCUCACUACCGAUGUCCUCUACAAGCACUAUUCCCUCGAUUAGUACCAUACCGCUUGCCGAACGACGCCAAGACCAGCUUAAAUACGCGCUUCCCACCAUCUCCACCAGCCGGGCUCGGUCGCGCGUGCCUGUUACUCCAGCUUUCGGAGGGCUAAAGAGUUGGUUGUUGGGGUUUGUGGGCUCGAGCCCAUGGCAAAUCGCCGGGGUCGAGGUCGCCGAAACGAAACUCUCCCUCCCUAAAUCGGACGCGCGCCGGCGUGCCCUGGAAGGGGGGAAGUCGCCAGGCCGCCGCCGUCAGAUAGUUGCAUGGGAAGAAAAGGCGUGGGGGCGCUCGCGCUCUUGUUGGACCGAGGUCACCUGCUGUGUUGCAGGCCGGUCGUUGAAAAAGAGGCCCAUAAGAGAAAAUGGGUACUCACUCACUGAUGGGGUCGCGGGCCAAGAGAGAAGGCCCCCCGCGAGAGAAAUUUACCAGCCAGCUGGAGUUGGGUCGGUGUUAGGUCGGUGCGUCGAGCCGGUAGAGGAGAUUGGGGCUUUCGGAGUAGGGGACUUGGCGUAUUUGGUCCAGGCUGGUCGGCCUGUAUAGGCUGGCGGGUUAAUUGGGUUGGGGCUCUCUACCUCAAGCCCAGGCCCGAUAGUUGUGCAGCUUUGGAUUUCCACGGAGCCGGGGUUCCCCCCCGGGACUCAUGGCAAAGGACAGAGUCUCUGUCCGAUGCACGAGAUGAGCCUACGCUUCGCCACCCUGCUGCAAAGCCUUCUUCGUGGUGCAUGGGUUCGCCCACUUAAACCCCCACUACCAACUCUUU